AGAGUUUGAUCCUGGCUCAGAAUCAACGCUGGCGGCGUGCCUCAGACAUGCAAGUCAAACGAUUAAACUUUCCUUCGGGAAAGAUAUAAAGUGGCGCACGGGUGAGUAACACGUAAGUAAUCUACCUCUGGGUGGGGAAUAACAGUCGGAAACGACUGCUAAUACCGCAUAAUGCAGCGGCUCCUUAUGGAGACAGUUGUUAAAGUAUUUAUAUGCCUAGAGAGGAGCUUGCGGCAGAUUAGCUAGUUGGUAAGGUAAUGGCUUACCAAGGCAACGAUCCGUAGCCGACCUGAGAGGGUGGUCGGUCACACUGACACUGAAUAACGGGUCAGACUCCUACGGGAGGCAGCAGUCGGGAAUUUUGGGCAAUGGGCGAAAGCCUGACCCAGCAACGCCGCGUGAAGGAUGAAGUCUUUCGGGAUGUAAACUUCGUAAGAAUAGGAAGAAUAAAUGACGGUACUAUAUGUAAGGUCCGGCUAACUACGUGCCAGCAGCCGCGGUAAUACGUAGGGACCAAGCGUUGUACGGAUUUACUGGGCGUAAUGGGCGCGUAGGCGGCGUAACAAGUCACGAGUGAAAUCUCCAGGCUGAACUCGGAACGGUCAAGUGAUACUGUUAUGCUAGAGUACAGAAAGGGUAUUCGGANUACUGGGUGUAGCGGUGAAAUGCGUAGAUAUCCAGAGGAACAGCAGAUGCGAAGGCGGAUUACGUAGGCUGAUACUGACGCUGAGGCGCUAAAGCUCAGGUAUCAAACGGA
rnacentral:rRNA from 1 species